UGGGGAAUAUUGCACAAUGGGCGAAAGCCUGAUGCAGCAACGCCGCGUGAGGGACGACGGCCUUCGGGUUGUAAACCUCUUUUAGCAAGGAAGAAGCGAAAGUGACGGUACUUGCAGAAAAAAGCGCCGGCUAACUACGUGCCAGCAGCCGCGGUAAUACGUAGGGCGCAAGCGUUAUCCAGAAUUAUUGGGCGUAAAGAGCUCGUAGGCGGUUUGUCGCGUCUGCUGUGAAAAACCCGAGGCUCAACCUCGGGCCUGCAGUGGGUACGGGCAGACUAGAGUGCGGUAGGGGAGAUUGGAACUCCUGGUGUAGCGGUGGAAUGCGCAGAUAUCAGGAAGAACACCGAUGGCGAAGGCAGAUCUCUGGGCCGUAACUGACGCUGAGGAGCGAAAAGGGUGGGGAGCAAAACAGGCUUAGAUGACCCUGGUAGUCCACCCCGUAAACGUUGGGAACUAGUUGUGGGUCCAUUCCACGGAUUCCGUGACGCAGCUAACGCAUUAAGUUCCCCGCCUGGGGAGUACGGCCGCAAGGCUAAAAACUCAAAAGGAAUUGACGGGGUCAUAGCUGUUUCCU
rnacentral:rRNA from 1 species